UACAGAGGGGGCAAGCGUUGUUCGGAAUUACUGGGCGUAAAGGGCGCGUAGGCGGCCUGUUAAGUCGAACGUGAAAUCCCCGGGCUCAACCCGGGAACUGCGUCCGAUACUGGAGGGCUUGAGUGUGGGAGAGGGAUGCGGAAUUCCAGGUGUAGCGGUGAAAUGCGUAGAUAUCUGGAGGAACACCGGUGGCGAAGGCGGCAUCCUGGACCGAGAUCGACGCUGAGGCGCGAAAGCUAGGGGAGCAAACGGG
rnacentral:rRNA from 1 species